rnacentral:rRNA from 1 species
GCUUACGGCCAUACCAGCCU